rnacentral:rRNA from 1 species
UGUGGCCAUUUGGUUACUAGGCAAUGUGGUGUUUAGGUCGUUCCGCAGAGACACUGCUCCUUUCUAAGUCCAUUAAUGAGUACGGUUGUACUGACAUGGCCCACGGAGGGUGAAAGGCCCGUAAGAGAGGAGUUAUGGUGAACAGUGUCUCUCUGGAUUGACCUUGGAGUCGGGUUGUUUGGGAAUGCAGCCCUAAGCGGGUGGUAAACUCCAUCCAAGGCUAAAUACAAGCACGAGUCCGAUAGCGAACAAGUACCGUGAGGGAAAGUUGAAAAGUACUUUGAAGAGAGAGUAAACAGUGCGUGAAACCGCUUAGAGGUAAACGGGUGGAGUUGAACUGUAAUCUCUGAGAAUUCAGCUGGAGAUGAUUAUUUGGGCUUGGUCAAGUUGGUAGGGCCCUGGGGUAUGCUUAGGUGCAUGUUCUGGCCUUCGGGUUGGAAUGCGCGUUGCUCUUAUCAAGGGCUGCGCGCCUCGGGUGUCCGGCUGGCCUUGUCACCAGUGCACUUUCUCGGAGUGAUCACCACGACCGGCGUGCUGCUUGACUGUUCUAGUUAAAUCGAACGUUCAUCGUCCUUGUGGCGUUGGGUGGUCGACACGGCAGGUAACUGGGGGCUUGCUUUGGCUUGUUUCUCGGUGUAUGCUGGCUUUAACGGUUCUAUGUGGUGUGUCGGAGACGGCGGCUAGUGGUGCGUGCGUGCGUUUCUAUCUGUUGGCAUAUUCUGGUUUGGUGGCUUUGUGCUUGUUUAAGCAGGCCUAGUUAUAGCCGGGGUGUGUCAGUGGGUGGUUGCGUGUGUGGCACUUUUCAGGGCCAACAGUCUGUGGUGUUGUGGUAGACUAUCCACCUGACCCGUCUUGAAACACGGACCAAGGAGAGUAACAUGUGCGCGAGUCAUUGGGCGUAACGAAACCCACAGGCGUAGUGAAAGUAAAGGGCUGGCUUGUCUAGUCUAAGGUGAGAUCCUGUCGUUUUUCAUGCGUGGUAUCACCAAGCUUGGAGCGRUGGGCGCAUCACCGGCCCGUCCCAUGAUGUGGUCACAGUCUUCGGAUUGUGCGCCGUCGGGGCGGAGCAUGAGCGUACAUGUUGAGACCCGAAAGAUGGUGAACUAUGCUUGCGCAGGUUGAAGCCAGAGGAAACUCUGGUGGAGGACCGCAGCGAUUCUGACGUGCAAAUCGAUCGUCAAACGUGAGUAUAGGGGCGAAAGACUAAUCGAACCAUCUAGUAGCUGGUUCCCUCCGAAGUUUCCCUCAGGAUAGCUGA